ensembl:lncRNA
GCAAAUCAGUCUGUUGGGUAUAGAGAACAAGAUUGUCCUUACAUUUGUCUCAUUUUGAAAUUCUACUGACAGCACUGGCAGUGCCUAGAGGGUCCCAAUCAGGAAUCAAGAUCCUAUUGUGCUGUGCAUCCCACACACUGAAGACACACAGGCCCUCCAUUAAAGAACUUACCAACUGUGUAUGAUGAAAUAUAUGAUGCGGAUGCAACAAACGAGUAGCAGGAGGCUAUUAGGAUUCAAGUAGUUUACAAUGGUUGAUACCAGCAGACAAGGAGGACCAGAUAAAGUAAAUCACAUUUUGCCAACGUACAAUGGUUACUAUCUCUUGCCUUUUCUAAUUAGUUCCAUACUAAUUCCCCCUUCUCUGCAUUAAAAAAGGAGGAAACUAAGAACAGAAUCUUGUUUUACUUGACAUGGUAAAAUAGGACUUGCCCAGCUGUGUAAUUGUCUUUUCGGGCACUGGUCCAUAGUUUAUAAUCCUAUUUCAUCUGCUGUGUGGACAUAUUUUGUGAUGGUGUAGUGACAAUUUCAUGACUUAUACUUGCCUAGCAGAUGGAGCUGCUUACCCACCCGGACAGUGUGCAGCCUAUUGGGCAUGUUCACUAACUGCAGAUGCUGAUAUGUGUCUGCUGCAUGUGGAAUAGGAUCCCAAAAAUGUGUAAGAGCCCAAAAUACCAGUUAUGCAGCAGCAAAACUGCCAUUUGGCCAAGUAAAGGGAAUUGGGAUUCUGCUCUAAGGUACUGCACAGCCUUUUAAUAUGUCUUCUAACAAUAUUACUGCUGAGGAAAAGUUCCCAUUGCUUUCUUCCUCCUGCUCUCUCCUUUGCACUGACAUGAAGUAAUUCAGCCCACAACUGAAUUUGUUUGACUGCUUAUUUAAAAAAAUAAAUUCAGAUCUUUAUAGCGACUCCGUUUUUUUCUUCACCCUCCAUUUUAUUUUGUCUUAGCAGGUCUCUUGGAUCUAUGGUUUUCAGGUUCCCACCUGUACUGAGAAAUAAUAGUUUAAACUUUCACUUCAGGCUUUCUUUUCAUGGCAGGACUAAAGGGCAAAGCCACACUCAAAGAGCAGGCAGGGUGCCUGGCAAACAGGACAGAGCUCAUCAACUAAAGAUACCAGCUAUUACCUGGCUGAGGGAUCAUCUCCCAAUUCCCAACACUUGUACACUAGGGAGCAUCUCUAAUGCUCAGCAAAGAUGCCAGCAAGCAAAGAUCAGGGUGCAUCUAGAUGAGCGUGCACAUGCCUCUUGCCCCACCUCAAACCUCUUUGAGGUGGGGCAAGAGGGACAUGCAGGAAUGAGAAAAAGAAAAGUAGACCCUUGGAUAUCCAGGGGUCUAAAAAAAGCACUCUGCAAAAGACUUGAGCAAGGUAUGGUUCAAGACUGUGCCCAGAGCCAGUCCUCCAAAAGAGACGCUUUGGUUUUGGCCAGAUCAUCUCUUUGGUGUUCCUGCUGCCCUCAGCACUGUCCAUGGUAAGUUGGGAGGGUGGUGUUUCAUGGGUGUGGGUGGGUGGGGUAUGGCAGAGGGAUAUGGGGAAGGGGCUGGGGAGUGGCAGGGGGGAUGUCCCUGGGGCUGCAGGGAGUGAGGACCUGGCCCAGAUCCCUGUGGCUCACUAGUCUGGCUUUGCACCAGAGUGGGUUGCACGGCUCCGGGAAGCCUGCACAGGAGCUGCGCCUCCCGGAACCCUGUGACCCGCUCCGGUGCAAGGCCUGACCAGUGAGCCACAUGGGGCUGGGCCAGGUCCUCACCCCCUGCAGGCACAGGAAGCAGAGGUGGGAGCCAGCCAUGGGGCCCAGCUGGGCCCUUCCUAUAGCAUCAGGACCUGGCCCAGUGCGUGGGGACUGCACAGAGCCAAGCCAGGUCCUGCUGGCCCUGGGGCUGCUCAUGCCUCCUGGCUGCCAGCAGGACCUGGCUUGGCUUUGUGCAGUCCCCACAUGCCAGUCCAGGCCAGGCAGCAUGAACCACACGGUCCCCAAGCUGCUAGUGCUCCCUGGCCCAGCCCAGCAUGCAGGGACUGUGUGG